rnacentral:rRNA from 1 species
ACGGAAGGCAGCAGUGGGGAGUAUUGCACAAUGGGCGAAAGCCUGAUGCAGCAACGCCGCGUGAGUGAAGAAGUAUUUCGGUAUGUAAAGCUCUAUCGAUGGGGAAUAUAAUUAAGGUACCCAAGUAAGAAGCCCCGGCUAACUACGUUCCAGCAGCCGCGGUAAUACGUAGGGGGCCAGCGUUAUCCGGAUUUACUGGGUGUAAAGGGAGCGUAGACGGAUUAGCAAGUUUGAAGUGAAAUACCUGGGCUUAAACCGGGAAUUGCUUUGAAAACUGUUAAUCUAGAGUACUGGAGAGGUAUGGGGAAUUUCUAGUGUAGUGGUGAAAUGCGUAGAUAUUAGGAAGAACACCGGAGGCGAAGGCGGCAUACUGGACAGAUACUGACGUUGAGGCUCGAAAGCGUGGGGAGCAAACAGGAUUAGAUACCCUGGUA